CUACGGGAGGCAGCAGUGGGGAAUAUUGCACAAUGGGCGAAAGCCUGAUGCAGCGACGCCGCGUGAGGGAUGACGGCCUUCGGGUUGUAAACCUCUUUCAGUAGGGAAGAAGCGAAAGUGACGGUACCUGCAGAAGAAGCACCGGCUAACUACGUGCCAGCAGCCGCGGUAAUACGUAGGGUGCGAGCGUUAUCCGGAAUUAUUGGGCGUAAAGAGCUCGUAGGCGGUUUGUCGCGUCUGUCGUGAAAGUCCGGGGCUUAACCCCGGAUCUGCGGUGGGUACGGGCAGACUAGAGUGCAGUAGGGGAGACUGGAAUUCCUGGUGUAGCGGUGGAAUGCGCAGAUAUCAGGAGGAACACCGAUGGCGAAGGCAGGUCUCUGGGCUGUAACUGACGCUGAGGAGCGAAAGCAUGGGGAGCGAACAGGAUUAGAUACCCUGGUAGUCCAUGCCGUAAACGUUGGGCACUAGGUGUGGGGAC
rnacentral:rRNA from 1 species